rnacentral:tRNA from 1 species
GCCUGGGUGGCUCAGUCGGUUGAGCGUCUGACUUCGGCUCACGAUCUUGCGGUCCGCGGGUUCGAGCCCCGCGUGGGGCU